rnacentral:rRNA from 1 species
GGGUUGUGAGGUUAAGCGACUAAGCGUACACGGUGGAUGCCCUGGCAGUCAGAGGCGAUGAAGGACGUGCUAAUCUGCGAUAAGCGCCGGUAAGGUGAUAUGAACCGUUAUAACCGGCGAUUUCCGAAUGGGGAAACCCAGUGUGACUCGUCACACUAUCAUUAACUGAAUCCAUAGGUUAAUGAGGCGAACCGGGGGAACUGAAACAUCUAAGUACCCCGAGGAAAAGAAAUCAACCGAGAUUCCCCCAGUAGCGGCGAGCGAACGGGGAGGAGCCCAGAGCCUGAAUCAGCAUGUGUGUUAGUGGAAGCGUCUGGAAAGGCGCGCGAUACAGGGUGACAGCCCCGUACACAAAAGCGCAUGUGCUGUGAGCUCGAUGAGUAGGGCGGGACACGUGGUAUCCUGUCUGAAUAUGGGGGGACCAUCCUCCAAGGCUAAAUACUCCUGACUGACCGAUAGUGAACCAGUACCGUGAGGGAAAGGCGAAAAGAACCCCGGCGAGGGGAGUGAAA